rnacentral:rRNA from 1 species
UUAGGAACGCCAAGUGAGUGAUACCAUGCUUCCAGGAAAAGCCACUAAGCUUCAGUUGAAUGAAGACCGUACCGUAAACCGACACAGGUGGGUAGGAUGAGAAUUCUAAGGCGCUUGAGAGAACUCAGGAGAAGGAACUCGGCAAAAUAGCACCGUAACUUCGGGAAAAGGUGUGCCCUUUGUAUGUGUAGCGCCUCGCGCGUGAAGCAGAAUAGGGUUGCAAUGAAAUGGUGGCUGCGACUGUUUAAUAAAAACAUAGCACUCUGCAAACACGAAAGUGGACGUAUAGAGUGUGACGCCUGCCCGGUGCCGGAAGGUUAAAUGAUGGGGUGCAAGCUCUUGAUUGAAGCCCCGGUAAACGGCGGCCGUAACGAUAACGGUCCUAAGGUAGCGAAAUUCCUUGUCGGGUAAGUUCCGACCUGCACGAAUGGCGUAACGAUGGCCACACUGUCUCCUCCUGGGACUCAGCGAAGUUGAAAUGUUUGUGAAGAUGCAAUCUCCCCGCGGCUAGACGGAAAGACCCCGUGCACCUUUACUGUAGCUUUACACUGGACUUUGAUAACAUUUGUGUAGGAUAGGUGGGAGGCUUUGAAGUGGAUUCGCCAGAAUUCAUGGAGCCAAUGUUGAAAUACCACCCUGAUGUUGUUGAGGUUCUAACCUAGAUCCAUUAUCUGGAUUGGGGACCGUGUAUGGUAGGCAGUUUGACUGGGGCGGUCUCCUCCCAAAUUGUAACGGAGGAGUACGAAGGUACGCUAGGUACGGUCGGAAAUCGUGCUGAUAGUGCAAUGGCAAAAGCGUGCUUGACUGCGAGACUGACAAGUCGAGCAGAUGCGAAAGCAGGUCAUAGUGAUCCGGUGGUUCUGUAUGGAAGGGCCAUCGCUCAACAGAUAAAAGGUACGCCGGGGAUAACAGGCUGAUUCCUCCCAAGAGUUCAUAUCGACGGGGGAGUUUGGCACCUCGAUGUCGGCUCAUCACAUCCUGGGGCUGUAGCCGGUCCCAAGGGUAUGGCUGUUCGCCAUUUAAAGUGGUACGUGAGCUGGGUUUAAAACGUCGUGAGACAGUUUGGUCCCUAUCUGCCGUGGGCGUUGGAAGUUUGAGUGGACCUGCUCCUAGUACGAGAGGACCGGAGUGGACGCACCUCUGGUGUACCGGUUAUGACGCCAGUCGUAUCGCCGGGUAGCUAUGUGCGGAAGAGAUAACCGCUGAAAGCAUCUAAGCGGGAAACUCUCCUCAAGAUGAGACUUCCCGAGGGUUUAACCCUCCUAAAGGUUCGUCGAAGACUACGACGUUGAUAGGUCGGGUGUGGAAGCAUAGUGAUAUGUUAAGCUAACCGAUACUAAUUGACCGUGAGGCUUGAUCCG